AACGGGUGUAGCAAUACAUCAGUGGCAAACGGGUGAGGAAUAUAGAGGAAUCUUCCCAGCAGUAAGGAAUAACCCUGGGAAACCAGAGCUAAUGCCAUAUAUUACCGAUUUAUCGGGAAAGAUUUAUCGCUGUUGGAUGAGCCUCUAUCGGAUUAGCUAGUUGGUAGGGUAAUGGCCUACCAAGGCAAUGAUCCGUAGCUGGUCUGAGAGGAUGAUCAGCCACACUGGGACUGAGACACGGCCCAGACUCC
rnacentral:rRNA from 1 species